CGCCCCGCAGCGCGACACACAAUACUCGCCGGAAGCGGAAGCCGCGCUGAGAAGCUCGUGUCAGUGGAAACCCGGGUGUCGGCUCGCUGCCGCGGGAAGGCCUAGCGGUGCUUGCGGGAGGAGAAGGAGGGGGGCCAGAGGCCAGUCCAGAGAGAAGGUGGCGAGCUGAGGCGGCCAGUUACGUGGCGGACCUGCGGGUCUCAGCUGGCACGUCACUUCCGACUGGUUGAGUUUUAGCCUUUUAACAUUCCAGGAUUAGUUUGCAAGCACAUCCUGUGUGGGCCUGAGAGACACUGGGGUGACCACUCAUGUCCUUCCAACCCUGCUGUCCCUGAUUUGCCUUCUUCCGACUGACUUCCUGGUGACGCCUGCUCUCCAAGGAUGUUGCAGGUGACAUGGCAGGAAUGGAGGGUAGCGAGGUCUCUGCACUGCAUAUGCUCAUACGUAGACUGCACAGUCACUGAACAAGGGACAAGACAGUAGUAGGGUUCCUGGAGAGUCAGCGAUUGGCACAGACCCUCAUCAGCAUGAGACAGAAUUCCUCUGUUCACUGCAGCCAGGAUGAGAAUCCCUGCUGGUGACCUUUCCUCCUCCUCCUCCUGGCUGAGGGUGGUGGCUGUGGAGGUCGAGAUCCUGAGAAGAAUCCCCUCAGAUGGAGAAGGAACGCAGGGUCACUUGUCAUGGGGUUCCGGCAGAAAUCCGCUCUUAGAUUUCUGUACGUCCGAGGCUGCCUUGGACGGCGCACCUUGAGACAGUUGACUCCAGGUCCCUCAUAUCUUGUCCCCUGGUGAAGUCACUGCAUGACUUCACCCUAUUCUGUGUGUCACCAGCAAGUCACUAUGUCCAGCUUCUGUUCCCAAAGUGGGUAUUACACAAGGGCAUGAAUACUGGAGGAUGGGAACACUGGAGCCAUCUUGGAGUCUGCCUACAACAGGGGUGACUUUGGGAACCACCUGAAUGCGUGGCCUUUCGCAGGCCUGUGGCUAGAAAUGCAGAGACCAGACUGAAUGAAGAGUUCAAGUCCAAGGGUGUUGGUCACUCCCCAGGAAUCCAGAUCAGAGUCGGGAUGUCACACUUUGUUGCAGGUGGACAGGGCCUGAGGCUCCACCAGUCAGGUGAGCACAAGCCAGACUCUGACCCAGGAUGUGGUGACACAGAAACUGGGACAGUGCUGCAUGCAUUUGGCACAGGUGACGUGAGUGGCUGUCGUGUCAUCCAGCUGCCAGGGGCGGCAGCGACAGCAGUCCUGGCCUCAGGGUGCAGUGAUGUGAACAGCGGGAUCUGUGCCCAGCACCGGGGGCAGUGAUUCCUAUUUGGGCCUUGACCUAGGGUGGGAUGGUGGAUUCUGUUCCUGGCUCUGCAGCCUCGGGCCUGUUCUGUGGCUUUCCUUGAAAUAAAAUGAGGCCCAGUACUCUCUAUCUAUAGUAUAUAUUUUCCUAUUCAUGUAAUUUAUAUAUUUCAUAUAUUUUAAAAUAUGCUUUAAUGUUUAUAUUAUUCAUACUUUAUAUUAUGUAUUUAUAAUUUAUAAGAUACACGUUUCUCUGUAAAUAUAUGUAGUUUCAAUUAAAACAACUUGGAAUCUGUUGUUCAAAACAAGGAACAAGAAAUCCAUGAGGGAAUACUUUCAGAGAGCAGGGAUUCGGAAAUUUUUUCUAGUUUUAUUGAGAAAUAAUUGACAUAAAACAUUGUAGGUUUAAGUGUACAACCUGUUGAUACAUUUAUAUACUGCAAAUUGAUUACCACCAUAGCCUUGGCUAACACCUGCAUCAUGAUACAUAUAGUUCCUUGUGUGUGUGUGUGUGGUGGGAACAUUUAAGAUCUACUCUUAGCAAUGAGAGUUUUUCUUUAUGUUGAGCUGAUAAUCACUUCCUAAAUCUUUCAUCUCGUUUUACCCCAUGGGAGAGAAAAUACGUUUCUCCCAGCAUGUCUUGCAUUUUUCUUCCUACAAAAAAACUUUAAGAUUUUAUUUUUUGACACAGAGACAGUGAGAGAGGGAACACAGGCAGAGGGAGUGGGAGAGGGAGAAGCAGGCUUCCCGCUGAGUAGGGAGCCCGAUGCGGGGCUUGAUCCCAGGACCCUGGGAUCAUGACCUGAGCUGAAGGCAGACGCUUAAUGACUGAGCCACUCAGGCACCCCACAAAAAAACUAUUUAAAUGUGUCUGUAAGACCCCGUCCCACAAUGAAGGCUCUCAUCAAUGGCUUCAGUGCUUCCCUAUGUGUGGAAUCCCAUGAUGGCUUAUGGCUUUGUUACCAAAUACUCAGGCCUCUCCCCAGACCCACCAGCUUAGAAUGUUGGACGUGGGCCCAGGAAUCACUUAAUAAUCCCUACAGGAGAGGCUGAUGCACGGCCAUGUGGGGAUCCUGCUUCAUGUGCUUGCUACUCAGUGUGGGAUCUGAAGACCAGCAGCAUCAGCACCAACCUUGUUAUCAACCCAGAAUCUCAUGCUCUACUCCAGACUGUCUAGAUCUUCAUAGUCCAGGAAUUUCCUGUGCACACUGAAGGGUGGGCCUCCCUGGUCUUUGUGUUUUCUAGGUGCAGAACCAAACUACGGUACACUCUGGGUGUGUGCUCUGAUCAGCUUGCUUAGCCUUGAGGAGUCCAGGGUUUGGUCCUGUUCCUUUCUCUUCUAUCGCCCUCACCCCCUUAGGGACCUCAUCUCUUCAUCUCUAGUAAAGGCUUUAAACCUAGUUUAUAUGGCAUGACCUCCCACAUCUAUUUCUCCAACCCAGAUAUUUCUCCUACCCUGAACUCUAUAUCCACCUGCUAACCUCACCUGCGUUUCUUUCUAAGAUUUGUUUAUUUUAGAGAGAGUGGAGGGGCAGAUGGAGAUGGAGAGAGAGAAUCCUAAGUGACUCCCUGCUGAGCAGCGGAGGGGGGUGGGGUUGUCUGAUGCAGGGCUUGAUGCUAUGACUCCAAGAUUAUGACAGCCAAAAUCAAGAGUCGGGCUUAAUCAACUGAGCCACCCAGGUGCUCCUCACUUGUGUUUCUAGUAGACAUCUCAGAUUAAUCAUUUCCUAAAUUGGAUGCUUGUGAUGCUGCUUACUCAAAUAUGCUACUUCCAGACACUUCCCCAUUUCCACUGAAGGCACUCACAUUUCUACUUGCAGUCUGAAAUACUGGAUGCCCUCCCUGAUUCCUCGUUCUCUCUCCCUAGAAUUAAUCCAUUAGGAAAUGCUGCAAAGUCCAUCUUUAAAUAUCUCCAGCCCCCAAUCACUUCCUACUAUCUUCCCUUCUCAACCCCAGACGUACAGCCCACAUCCCCCACCUGGGACACUGCACUGGUUUCCUACAGAUUCUCUGCUGGUCACUUGCCCUGCACCGCUCAAUUCUGCACAGCAACAAACAGAUGCUUCUAAGGAGAGGUGGUACUGGGUGGAUCGUCUGUUUCAAACCAUCUUGUAACUCCACAUGUUACUCGGAGAAAGCUCAAACUGUUCUAAUAUCCUAAGGCUUGGACAUCUGAUGUCAUUUCAGCUGCUCUCUGCUCCAGCCCAGUGGCCUCCUUGCCCUUCUGUAACACAGGACAAGCUCCUGCCUUAGUGCGUGUGCACUGGGGGUUCCCUGCCUGGAAAGAGCUCCCCCCAGAUCUCCUCUUACACAAUUCCUUCAUGACCUUCAAACCUCUCAAAGGCACCUUGGUGAGGCUCCCUCUGAUUGCUGUAGUGAAGUAGCCAUCGUCCCCUUUCCAGCAUAGGUACCUCUCUGGACCACCUUCCACAGGUACUUCCCAACCUCUAACACACACACUUCCCUUAGUUACUAGCAUACAGUCUGCCCCUCACUCCAGAACAUAUGCCCCACAAGGUAGUCAAAUUUUGCCCGUUUUUUACUUGAGGUGUCCUAGAUGUGAAAAUAAUGUUCCUGUAUCUGAUAAUUACCAGUUGAAUGAAUGAUCUGCAUAGAGCACCUCUCUCUUCUAGAUGAGACUUAGGCCAUAGCUGUUCGUGGUAGCUACCACUUUUCUCCCCAUUGCUGGUCUCCCUGCUCCACCCCCAUUGCCUCCUUCCCACACCAUCCCUCCUGCACAGCACAGGAAACAAUUACAGUUCUCCAUUCAGAAAAGUUGUACGUAGGCUUAUGGGUCAUAUUUUCCAGAUAAAUGUGAAUUCAAAUUACACACUGCUUUAUAACUAUGAAUUAGGAUUGGAACCAGAACGAGGAUCACUAGAUCUAAGGGCAGGGGGGCAGGUAAGUGAGCAGAGAAAACAAACUGAAAUUUAAUAAGGAUGAGAAACGAUCAGAUCCUGUCUCUAACUCCAGAAUCUGCUUUUUAAAAAAAGAUGGGAAGAUGGGAAGAAUGAUUCAGAACAGCUGUAGAAGGAGAAGAGAUGGGUCUGAAAAAAUUCAUCUUGCAAUACCACAGAGACUCUUGUGUGCAGGGGCUCACUGGGCCUUGUGGGAACAAUGAGAGGCCAUAGGACCCCUGUGGUGGUCACAGACUAGGGGACACCAGAGGAACAUGAGACCAGAACUCGUACACAAGAAUAAGAAUAGGCCAAAUUCUGUAUAUAAACCACCCAAAAGUUGGGGGCUGAGGGCCUGAUCCAAGCUGGAGCCUAGGCUGACCUGGGUGAGGAAGCUCUUGAUGCCCAUGGUCCUAGACACAGGUAAUGUCUGAGUCCCUGUGAUCACAGGUCCUGGUGGAACAAGUUCCACUGAAGGGACCAGGGAAUAGCGAAGAUGACUCAGCUGAGGAGUGACCAUGUUAAAGCCCACAAUGCACUGAGUACUAACCAGGCACAGUUCUGACCACAGUUGGCUACUCACAGCCUCUCCUGCCCCACCUAUAACAGCACAGCAAUCAGGCAGCUUCUGGAAGGUUCUCCGCUUCCAUUUAUUUCUCAUCUCAACUUUAGGAGUCUUCUCCUUUACUACCUUUAUUACCACCUUAGUCCUAUAUGACAAGAACAGAAAACAAAUAUCCAGAUUUUCAGUAGAGAAGUAAAAUAUUACUUCUGAAACAUGAAGUAAAGACAGGGAUGGAGAUGACCUAGUCCCAUCUCUGCUGGAACAGGAAAGCAGAUCAGGGAAGAGAGCAUAGGUCAUUUUGGGGAGAGGUAAUGAUGGGUAGGGGUGGGCCAGUUUCCCCACUCCUCACAUUAUGCUAAUAGGAACACAGACACAUUCAGACACCGUUAGCAGAUAGAGACAUUCCGGGCUCUUGAUGUCAAAAAAAAAAAAAAAAAAAAAA